GAUGAACGCUGGCGGCGUGCCUAAUACAUGCAAGUCGAGCGAACAGACGAGGAGCUUGCUUCUCUGACGUUAGCGGCGGACGGGUGAGUAACACGUGGAUAACCUACCUAUAAGACUGGGAUAACUUCGGGAAACCGGAGCUAAUACCGGAUAAUAUAUUGAACCGCAUGGUUCAAUAGUGAAAGACGGUUUUGCUGUCACUUAUAGAUGGAUCCGCGCCGCAUUAGCUAGUUGGUAAGGUAACGGCUUACCAAGGCAACGAUGCGUAGCCGACCUGAGAGGGUGAUCGGCAACACUGGAACUGAGACACGGUCCAGACUCCUACGGGAGGCAGCAGUAGGGAAUCUUCCGCAAUGGGCGAAAGCCUGACGGAGCAACGCCGCGUGAGUGAUGAAGGUCUUCGGAUCGUAAAACUCUGUUAUUAGGGAAGAACAAAUGUGUAAGUAACUAUGCACGUCUGGACGGUACCUAAUCAGAAAGCCACGGCUAACUACGUG
rnacentral:rRNA from 1 species